AGAUUAUACUAUAGCCUGGCUAAAGGGCAAAUAUCCAACUAAUAGUUUACCGUUUCCAUCACGCACAGGAAUAUAAAUACACUAACACUCAACUAACAAGCACAUGAACAAACUAGGCGUAGGGUUUAUCAGUUCAAUUUUGAGGCAACAGUUUACAUUAACUGAAGAUAAUUCUAACUAAACAAAUCCCUAUCCAAUACAACUCAAAACCAUCAGAAAUAACGACUAGGCAGUAACUAGGAAGCACAGAGACUCGGAUCAUGCUUCAUUUCAUUCCAAUAACCAAGGAUAUACAAAUGUGUACCUGGUAUUAACAAUACAAGAAGAGGAAGAAGAGGAUCAGCAGCAACAGUAGCAAUACAAUACAGCAGAACAACAAAUAGCCACUGCAAAUACCAAACAACAGGUACCAACAGCUAGUGGCAUAUGCAGCAGACCCAAGUGGAUUUAAAACCAGUUAAAACUAGAACACUCAAACUUCAACAGCUCAAACGACCUCAGAAAGGAAAUAAAAAAAAACACACUACUGCAACACUACACCCAAACUCAUCUUAAACCAUCUCAAAACCUAUUUAAACUUUGAACUCCUUUCUCUCCCUUUUAAGAUUACUUUCUCUUCUAAAGUCUGCAUAAAAGAAAAGCCAGACCAGACCCAGAGAGAUCCAAGCCCAGACUCGAAAAAAAAAUCCAAAAAGAAUUGAUUUUUUGCUCCCAAAAAAACCCCCGCCCCUUUUCUGGUCUUGAGUGACCUUAUUUAUCACCAAAACAGACCUGCCCCCUCCGCCUUAUAAGAUUUUCUGCCCAUGAUAUUCCUCCACCACUACUACAUGUUUUGUUCUCUUUUUAAUUCACUUGUUCCCCACUACCCUUGUCUUUUCCUUAUUUAAUUGUUCAAAUAGGUAUGGACACCUAUUUCUUAAUCCAUUUCCUUUAGACCUUCCACACCAUCAUGUUUUGUUCCCCAUUAGCACUAAACAAAUGCAUUAGUUUAAUGUUAAUUAAGUGUUUUACUGACAGCCCACUUAAACUAGCCAUUUUUAAACUUUUCAAUUCCUAAAUUACCCACCUAAAGCCCCUGAAAUUAUUGUCCUACCCAAUCCCUUCAAUUGGUAACAACCCCAAACAGCUAUAACCAAUUCAAACUAUCAAAUUCCUAACAACUGACUCCUAACUCAACUGAACAGAUUACAAAACUUCAGAUUUGAAAAACCAAUAGACUCCCUGAUAACCAACUAGACAAGUAAUCAACAAUAUGAAUUGCAAGCAAAGCGAAUCACACACUAUAGAAUAAGUUUUAAUUCACAACAAUUUGGCUAAACCCAACUACUAUCAACAUGUGACUGCAAUUAGAGAUGAGGCAAAGCAAGUGUCAUGAAAUGAAACCUGAUUAAUAACACGAGUCUAGGCUCAGAAAAUCAUGAACUAUUUCCUAAGCAUUAGGUCUAUUGUAUAGGCUAACAUUGUUGAUUAAGGGAUUACCAUGACAACAUAAUUGGUAACCUGAACUUGAACAAACUAAACAGACACAAAUUCAACCAGUUGGACCUUAGACUAAUGAAACUAAACAGACACAACUCGCAAACUGGCCCAAGUUUGGACCUUAGACUACUGAUCAUAAUUCAAACGGGAAAUUCAUGCCAAUUUAUAGAAGGGGAAGGGACAAAGUAAACAAAUGGAACUGCAAGAGUGAACAAUCAAACUGGAUGUAAAAGACUUACCCGAAUCACAACUCGAUAAAAAAACUCGAGGCUCUUCCCAUUCUCAAGCCGAGACGGACUUUAACCAUGUGUUUUCGAAGGAAAACAGCACGGCUAAAGUCAGUCUCUGGCUCAAAAUUCAUGGAACCUGUCCUGCCUAACUUUGAUCUGGAAUCCGAGCUACCCCACGAUGAUUUGAAAAGAGUCGAUCAGGGAUUCAUGGUGAGGGGGUCCAGGAGAUCACAUGGUGUGAGUUUGGUGGCAUUUGAACGAAUUAGGGUUUGGGUCGAUUCCUUUGAUCUAAGAUUCGAGGAGCUCGGAGGUGAUUCGAAGAAAACUAAGCGUGGGACUAGAACGAGGAAGUCUUGGCAAAGCUGUUGUGUGAAUUUGGAGUCUAUUGGACGAGAUAGGGUUCCAGCCUGAUUUUCGAUCUAACAUUCGAAGCACACAGCCGGGAUUCGAGGGAUAAGAGUUAGGGAUUUGGAAUAGGGAGGUCGAGGGGAAUCAAUGGUGAAAAGAUGGGGUCGUUUGGACCACCGGAAUCGCCGUGAGGCGAUUUCCGGUGGGCGGAGCACGGUGGUUGAAGGCGGAGGGUUUGUUUGAUCUCUGAAGCUCAGAGACGAAGAGGUGAGGGGGGGUUGGUUUAGGGGGGCGGGGUAGGAUUUAGGAAUAUAUACCAUGUGGGGAAUUUAAUCCCGGCCGUUAGAUCAAUUAAGAUCAACGGC
rnacentral:lncRNA from 1 species